rnacentral:tRNA from 1 species
GAUGAUGUAGUUGAGAAAACACUAGAUAUGGAAAACAGAGGGUCUGAGUUUGAAUCUCAGCUUUAUUC